AGUCGAACGAUGAAGCCCAGCUUGCUGGGUAUUAGUGGCGAACGGGUGAGUAACAUGAGUAACCUGCCCCCGACUCUGGGAUAAGCCCGGGAAACUGGGUCUAAUACCGGAUAUGACCUUUGACCGCAUGGUUGUUGGUGGAAAGAUUUAUCGGUGGGGGAUGGACUCGCGGCCUAUCAGCUUGUUGGUGAGGUAAUGGCUCACCAAGGCGACGACGGGUAGCCGGCCAUGGAGAGGGUGACCCCCCACACUGGGAUUGAGACACGGCCCAGACUCCUACGGGAGGCAGCAGUGGGGAAUAAAUUGCACAAUGGGCGGAAGCCUGAUGCAGCGACGCCGCGUGAGGGAUGACGGCCUUCGGGUUGUAAACCUCUUUCAGUAGGGAAGAAGCGAAAGUGACGGUACCUGCAGAAGAAGCGCCGGCUAACUACGUGCCAGCAGCCGCGGUAAUACGUAGGGCAAAAGCGUCCGGAUUUAUUGGGCGUAAAGAGCUCGUAGGCGG
rnacentral:rRNA from 1 species